AUGCCAUGAUGGGGACACUUCCUUAGCAUCUCCUUAUAUCGCUCCCAGGCUUUCACAGAAUGUUUCUCCUGAUUGUUGAGAGAAUUGAGAUAGAGCAUUUCGUAGUGC